rnacentral:rRNA from 1 species
AGCGAACGCUGGCGGCAGGCCUAACACAUGCAAGUCAAACCGAUCCUUCGGGAUUAGUGGCGGACGGGUGAGUAACACGGGGGAACGUGCCCUGUGGUUCGGAACAACUCAGGGAAACUUGAGCUAAUACCGGAUGUGCCCUUCGGGGGAAAGAUUUAUCGCCAUUGGAGCGGCACGCGUCUGUUUAGCUAGUUGGUGGGGUUAAGGCCGGCCAGGACGACGAUCAGUAGCUGGUCGGAGAGGAUGAUCAGCCACAUUGGGACUGAGACACGGCGCAAACUCCUACGGGGGGCCGCAGUGGGGAAUCUUGCGCAAUGUGCGAAAGCCUGACGCAGCCAUGCCGCGUGAAUGAUGAAGGUCUUAGGAUUGUAAAAUUCUUUCACCGGGGACGAUAAUGACGGUACCCGGAGAAGAAGCCCCGGCUAACUUCGUGCCAGCAGCCGCGGUAA